UACAGAGGUUGCAAACGUUGUUCGGAAUUACUGGGCAUAAAGCGCACGUAGGCGGUCCGCUAAGUCAGGUGUGAAAUCCCCCGGCUCAACCGGGGAAUUGCGUCUGAUACUGGCGGGCUCGAGAUCGGUAGGGGUGAGCGGAACUCCAGGUGGAGCGGUGAAAUGCGUAGAUAUCUGGAGGAACACCGGUGGCGAAAGCGGCUCACUGGAUCGACACUGACGCUGAGGUGCGAAAGCUAGGGUAGCAAACGGG
rnacentral:rRNA from 1 species